UAAGAAACUGAUCGUCGCGUUUUGUCCGAUCGGCUAAUAAGAAAAUCAUUAAAAAUGGAGGACGAUGAGGGGGACAAUCUCAGGCCAAAUAUUCCGUCGCCAUCGCCGGACCACGAUGCAAUGGCUGGUGGUUGCGGGACUGAGUUCACCCGGAUGAAGUCGGACUCUUCUGCGUUAACCGUUGAUACUUCCAAGGAUUUCUCGCUUCACAAUGCUUCGUCAAUCCCGGGCCCGUCAACAGUGUGGACAGAUGAGAAGCAUAGCUUAUAUCUUGAUUCAUUAGAAGCGGCAUUCGUUAAUCAAUUACACCAUUCCAUUGCUUUGCAUGGUUGCUUGCAAAAGACCUUAUGGGGGCCAUAUUCAUUCCGAACACUGAAAACAAAUAGUUGUAAUUCUUCACACCAGUUUAUCGUUCUACAAGAUGGCUCCCGGAAGCGAAGCAACCUUGACAGGAGUAAACCUUUAUUGGACAGCACAGCUGAUUCUCAUUUUAUUCAGAAAAGCCCAUGGAUACACCAUUUUGCAUCUGCAGGAAAGCAGCGUAUUGCAGCAUGUCAUGGUCAAGAACAUCGAGCACCUCCUACUAAAAGAAUUCAUGCAGGAAGGAGUUCUCCAGUCUGCUGUGGAUCCACAAGAUACUCACAACACCCUGAAUGUAGCCUAUGCCAUCACAAUUCAGUUGGCAUUGCCAAAGAGGUUUCAGAUCAGAACUUCGUAGAUGAAGACCAAGGAGAGAAGUCAAGCUCUAUGGCAAUGGUGAAAAGGUUGGAGAUAGUUGAGGCUGAUGCUUCAAGCAAUGAUCAAGUUGUUCCAUUUGCAACUUCUAAAUUGAACAAUUUUCAAGCUUCCACAGAAAGAGAAAAACAGGCGCAGCAGCAGUUGCUGCCAGAAAAAACUGAUAAUUUUGUCUACCCAAAAUCUGAUCAAUAUUUCAAAAGGGAGAGCUAAGUUGGAAUCGAAGGUUAACACUCAACUCUAAUGAGCCAAUAGAGCGAGAUAUGCUAGGGUUUUUCAUGUUGCCCUGUUGAAGAUGUAUUUUGAGAGAUGCAAAAUAUUAUAGUAGGCAACCUUCCUGAAGAUGGUUCUUGCUGAUAACUAUAUAUGAUGAGGGACUAUUUUUGUUAGAAAAUUGUUUUAGGGGAUGAAAAAUUCAUAUGUGCUGUAUGAUAGCAAGCUGCUGAACUCUACAAGAUAAGUUACUUUCUUGUUUUCGUGUUCCUUAACCCAGUUUGUAAAUUGCAUUCAAUUGAUAGAGAUAUAUUGAACUUUUUAUGUA